rnacentral:lncRNA from 10 species
UUUUUAAAUCUUUUAUACCGUAUUUUUACUGUAACUUUUCUGUGUUUAGAUAUGCAAAUACUUAUUGUGUUAUAAUUGCCUAUAGUAUUCAGUACAGUAACAUGCUGUACAGGUAUGUAACCUAGCAGCAAUAUGUUAUAUUGUCUAGGUAUGUAGCAGACUACAACAUCUAGUUUGGUGUAGACUCUUUGUUCUUGAUUUUUUCAGGCUGUUCUUUUGUUUGAAAUAAUUUAAUCUUAUUACUUUUUAUGGCUGCAUUAUAUUCCAUUUUAUAGGUGCACAAUUUUUAGCCGGGAAUAAAUACAUGAAGUCAGUAUUUUUUUAUUGCCUUAAAAAUAUAUCUAUGGUAUCAUAAUCCACUCCUAAAGUUUUACUGUUUAUCUGCUUGUCUGCAUAAGAGGGAGAAUGGCUAGGCCCAAAUAGUAGCACAGAUAAAGUUAGAUACAAGAACAACUUCCACAAAUGGAAAGGGCAGUGUGUCACAGACAAGGACUCAGUGGGUCUGAGUUCUAGCUCCAUUUCUAACAGUAAGUUAUGAUAUGACCUUAUGCAAGUCACUUCAGCUCUUAUAUCCUUAGAGCAUAUCCAUCACAUUUAGCUGUGCUAGGAGUCUUUGAAAGGCAACUAAGACAUUGGUAGGUGUCCUUUAAAGAAGGUAUAGCAUCGCCCUUCCUAAACUUGAUAAGGACUGAUGAAGAGUCCUAUAUAAUGUAUUUGGUUACUGGGAUCUAGAGAGGUGAGUGGGGAUGGUUGAAAUGGCUUCAGAAAGUAUUCUUCUUCUUUUUGAAAGUAAUACAUCAGGGCACUCAAAAAUGUAGUGAAGUACAACAAAAAUUCAGAAAACAUAAAAGUAAAAAGCAAUACUUGAUUCCAUAAUCCAAAAACAUGAUUACAGGCAUUUUCAUAUUUUUACUUCUGUUUUUCUGGAGGAAGGGAAUAUGGUGAGUCUAUAAAUAACAUUUUUAAUAGGACAUGAAUGAUACAUAAGUAUAUUUUUAUUUUGCAAUUUUCUAUUUUUUUAUUAUAUAGAAAGUAUUUCCCCACAUUAUUAUUCCUCAGAACUAGAAGUUUAAAUGGCAACGUAGGGUCUAUUUAUUAUAGGUUCCAGUUUUUUCCAUGU